rnacentral:lncRNA from 10 species
AUCUCCCAUACUGAGAUUCAGACUACAGCCCAGAUUUCCAGACUCCCAAUGCAGUCUCGACUGUUCUCCUUUCCAACUGCUAUCUAUGCAUGAUUAAGAGGCUUUUGCUCAUGUAUCCAAGUUGCUGUCACAGUGUAAAUUUGAUCUGUUGGAAGAACUUGUGGCCAAAGAGGUGCUACAUGCAUUGAAAGAAAAGGUUACUUCACUACCUGACAACCAUAAAAAUGCCCUUGCUGCUAACAUAGAUGAAAUUGUAUUUACAUCAACAGGAGACAUCUCCAUUUACUAUGAUGAGAAAGGAAGGAAGUUUGUUAACAUCCUGAUGUGCUUUUGGUAUCUAACCAGUGCCAACAUCCCCAGUGAAACUUUAAGAGGAGCCAGUGUAUUCCAGGUUAAGUUGGGGAAUCAGAAUGUGGAAACUAAACAACUUCUUAGUGCAAGCUAUGAGUUUCAGAGGGAGUUCACACAAGGAGUAAAGCCUGACUGGACCAUUGCACGGAUUGAACACUCAAAAUUAUUAGAAUAAUUUUCUUGGAAAAAUCAGCUUAUGGACUUUAGCAGUUGCUGUGAAAAACUAAGGAAGAAAAAUUUUGGGGUCAUUUGAUCUUCACUUAAUCUAAGUCUGUGAAUUACUUUUAUAUUAUUUUGAAAUACUCCUUGCAGUAUAUUGGCAUGAUACAGUAAAAGCAUUUUCCACAGAUUGUUAUCACCUUCUUUAAAAGAAGUCAAAAUUUAAAAAAUACAAUAGCACGUUGUUGGUGUCAUAUUCAAUAACAUUUCC